GGGGCCUGCUUGCUGGGGGCUCUGCAUAAGACCGUCAGGACAGGUUCUUCUGGCAGCCUUCAGGUCCCAAACCCCGUUCUGGCACUGGCCUGCCCAUCAGUAAGAGGGACAUCACCUGGAGCUGGAAGAAGAGAGGCCAUAGUCGGUCUGCAUUUAGGGCCUGAGCUCCAUGAGACAGGGACUCUGUAUCGUCUGUUGUAUCCCCAGCUCCAAGAAGAGUUACCCGGCAUCCGACAGGUGCUGGAAAGAUCUUCGUCAAAUGAAUGUGAGAGAGAAUGAAGUGGACUAAUCACAAGUGUCUCACCUUCUGUUGUAUCUGACCUUCUCUUCCCUUAAAAUGAGUUUCGAGGUGAUGUUUCAGUCCUUAUUAAAUAAAUUCAUUCCAUG